GCUUACAGUCAUACCACCCUGGGUAUGCCUAAUCUCUGAUCUCGAAAGUAAAGCAGGGUUGGGCUUGGUUAGUAGUGGUUCAUUCUGCUUUGGCGACCCUAGAUUAAUAAAGGGACUAAGCC
rnacentral:rRNA from 1 species